rnacentral:lncRNA from 1 species
CUAGACAACAAAAUAAGAAAGUGGCAGUAAAAAGAAAUCCCACCAUGUUUGCUGUCCUGAGAAAUUCUAAGGAUAAGUUCAAGGACAAUCGUAAAUCAGGCAUAUAUUCUAUUUGAGCAAUACAUGGCGGUACAGGACAAAAGAGUUCAUACAUUGCCUUCACAGGACGCACCCAACUAGGCAACAUACAACUAGGCAACAUGUCCACAGGCCUAGCUGAAGCAUGCUAUAUUUCCAACUACAAACCAUUCUGGGAAGAAGACAGGAUACUAAAACACAUAGAGAACCAAAGACAAGGAUUAAUCUAGGAAGCUUAGCGAUUCACAGAAGAGAAAAACCGAAACCCUCCAUAACGAUAAACACUCUGAAAAGCUACCAACGCCUUGGAGAUUUGUGCUCGAAAACAAAUGAAAGCGCAUCCCCUCAAAACACAUACCAAAGGAAUGGACUUUAACACUAAUUUCUCCUUCUACAUUGCUUUUAAUUAUUUUAAAAUUAUUUAUAUUAUCUGUAGCAUAUUAUUUUUG